AUGAAAGGAACAUCCAUUUUAUUCAAAGCACCUCCAAACCUGCAAUCCUAAGUUCCAGGCAACUCAAUCCCAAAAAUCCACUGUAGAUGCCCAAAGGCUGGGGUGUUCGGUCUUCAACAUUUUUGCCUUUGUGGCUCCCAGUCAAGAUAGAGCUGCACCAAGUCCAAUUCCAUUCCUCAUCACAGAUGAUUUUUUCUACUUUAAGAUCAGAACUAUACAAGCUUCUUGCUUUGUGUCAGCAUGCUGUUGUACCCAUGGGCAAAUUCUUAGGUAAGACAAAAACACAGUCCCAAGGGCAGGUAGUAAUUUUUUCAGAAAAAGGUAAGGCAAUCAUUUAUCUCAGUCUGCCCAGGACAGUCCCAAUUUACACAUGUAUAUUCUCCCAAUCUGUAGGCUGUCUUUUCAUUUUGUUGAUUAUUUCACUUAAUUUUUUAUUAUUUAUUUAUUUUAUAGAGACAGAUCUCAUUAUGUUGCCCAGGGUGAUCCUUGAUCUCCUGGCCUCAAGUGAUCCUCCAACCUUGGUCUCCCAAAGUGCUGGGAUUACAGAUGUGAACUACCACACCCAGUCAACGUGCAGAAGGUUUUCAGUUUGAUGUAGUCUGAUGUAGUCUCAUGUAUUUAUCCUUCUUGUUGUUGCCUGAGCUUUUGGUGUGAUAUCCAAAAAUAUCAUUGCCAAGAUCAAUAUCAAGAAACUUUCCCCCUAUGUUUCUUACAGAAAUUUUAUGGUUUCAGAUUUUUCAUCCAUUUUGAGUAUAUUUGUGUGUAUGAUGUAAGAUAAGGGUCCAGUCUCCCCAGUGUUGGAUAUCCAAUUUUCAUAACACCAUUUAUUGAAGAGAUUAUUCUUUCUCCACUGUGUUUUCUUGAUGUCCUUGUCAAAAAUUAGUUGACUUUUAUAUGCUUGGGUUUAUUUCUGGGCUCUAUUCUGUUUCAUUGCUUUACAUCUCUGUUUUCAUGCCAGUGCCACAGUGUUUUGAUUACUAUAGCUUUGUAAUAUAAUUUGAAAUCAGAAUGUGUAAUACCUAUAACUUUGUUUUUUGCUCUAAAGAUUUAUUUAUUUAUUUAUUUUUGCCAUUUCAGGUCUUUUGUGGUUUCAUAUGAAUUUCAGAAUUGUUUUUCCUAUUUCUGUGAAAAAUGCCAUUGACAUUUUGAUAGGGAUUGUGUUGAAUCUAUAUAUUGCUUUGGAUAGUAUGGAUG
rnacentral:lncRNA from 1 species